rnacentral:lncRNA from 1 species
UUAGGUAACAGUGUGGAUGAUGAGGAGUAGGAAUACAUGUUCUGUGCAUCAUCUCCAUACGGUGGUGAAAGCCCAUUCAUAGGAACUCAUCACUACCCUCAGGAGUCACAGGGAUCUAGAGCCCUUUCUGUAACAACAAACACAGCUCAUGGGACCUGGUUUCCACCCAGUGGCCAUGGACUGCUGGCCACCAGGACCUGCCAAGCUCCCAUACUGCUGCAACUCUCCACUCCAAAUCUACACCCUGGGCUCUGCACCUCUGGGUUUGGUUUGCUGUAUCACAGAAUCAUCUAAGUUGGAAGAGACCUCCAAGAUCACCGAGUCCAACCUCUGACCUAACACUAACACGUCCUCCACUAAACCAUAUCACUAAGCUCAACAUCUAAACGUCUCUUAAAGACCUCCAGGGGUGGUGACUCAACCACUUCCCUGGGCAGCCCAUUCCGAUGCCUAACAACCCUUUCAGUAAAGAAGUUCUUCCUAAUAUCCAACCUAAACCUCCUCUGAAAACGCUCUUCUUCUACUGCUCACAGAAUACAAAAUGGCCCACCUUGCACCCUGCCUGUGCGCCCUGCCUGCGCGCACUUCUGUAGGUCUCAAGGAAAGCAGAUUUUCUCCUCUGAAGGUUUUGGAAGUCCUUAGGUGGUCUCUCAUUUACAGAACUAUUCUCUUCCAGCAGUCUACAUGUAGUAUCUCAAGACCAGUGCCCUGCACAUCAAGGCUAGUCAGCCAACAGCUGGUCUCCGGGCAGUUGUCCCCACCAUCACCAGGAUUUCCACCUCAUCCGGUACCCUGGAGCAUUAGGGCAUGAGUGUGCCGUGUGGUGGGGGACAGUGCAGCCCUUGGCCCCUGCAUACCCUGCUUCCAACUGCUUUUCCGCGUGGACAAAGGUGUAUGGGCAGGGAAGGUGAGAGGCCACACGGAAGUAAGUCUCUCGUUUGCUUCGAGGCUGGGAUGGAAGCUGAGUUACUCCAAGCAAUGGGCAGCAGUGAACAGAUCCCAACGCCAGUGGGUUUCUGCUGUCUCAGUGCAGCUCCUUGCACCACUCCUCAGUUGGGUGGAGCUGGGUUUUGUGCUCAGCUCUUGCAUGAGCAGCAGAUCCAUUAA